AAGAUGAUUAAUUUUAAUAUAUGGUAAAUAUUUUAUAACUUAAAUCAAGAAUAUUUUAGAAAAUAAAAUUUAAAAUGAGUGUUAUAAGAAUUUUAGAGUGGGUUAAAAGCUCAACCCCUUGACAAAGUGCUUCGGGCCACAAACGCCUUUUAGACCCAAUGGAAACAUAUCAGCUCAGUCCAAAAAGGCCUAAAUCCACAUAACCUGCUCUGAAACUUCAAUUGUAGGAUGUCUGUUGGUAACACUUUUUCUUCUUCUCCAAACUUUACUGAUGGCUCUUUUAUUGAGCAUUCUCACAAAAUUGAUUCAACGACAGUGGCUGGCCCCCAGCCCCGCCGAGAAAAAUGAAGGCCAUAUUUGGUUUAAAGAAAGGGAAAAAGAGAAAAAGAGUGGAAUGGAAGGGAAGAGAGAAAAAAUGAGUGGAGAAGAAUAAUGAAAUUAAAUUUCAUUAUUUGGUUUAACAUAAAGUUUGAUAGGGAAAUGAAU
rnacentral:lncRNA from 1 species